rnacentral:pre_miRNA from 1 species
AGCAUGAUUGCUGGGUUAUAUGGUAAGUCUAUGUUUAGCUCUGUAAGAAACUGCCAGAUUGUUUUCCAAAGAGGCUGUGCCAUUUUGCAUUCCCACCAGCAAU